rnacentral:rRNA from 1 species
AUUGAACGCUGGCGGCAGGCCUAAAACAUGCAAGUCGAACGAGUGGCGGACGGGUGAGUAAUGUCUGGGAAACUGCCUGAUGGAGGGGGAUAACUACUGGAAACGGUAGCUAAUACCGCAUACCAUCAGAUGGGCCCAGAUGGGAUUAGUUUUUGGGCGGGGUAACGGCUCUCCGAGGCGAAGAUCCCUAGCUGGUCUGAGAGGAUGACCAGCCACACUGAAACUGAGACACGGUCCAGACUCCAACGUGAGGCAGCAGUGGGGAAUAUUGCACAAUGGGCGCAAGCCUGAUGCAGCCAUGCCGCGUGUAUGAAGAAGGCCUUCGGGUUGUAAAGUACUUUCAGCGGGGAGGCGUUACCCGCAGAAUGAGCACCGGCUAACUCCGUGCCAGCAGCCGCGGUAAUAC